CAGGGGUCCUUUGCUACUGUUGGUUGUGUCCUUGCUUCUUGGAGAGGAGGGAGGGCAAAUGACUUUGAUGCCAGAAAUAGGGGAGAGCUGCUGAGGGAUGCCCUGUAGUGGACUGGCUGAGACUGUCGAGCAUCAGGUUGCAAAUCUCCAGAGGUACAAGGGGCUCAUUGGUAGCCUGGCCUGCUUUUGGUAUAUCAAUGAGGACAUCCCUGACGUAAAUUCGUUUCGUGAUAGUGGGUGAUUGAGAAAGGAGCCCAAGCAGAAGGCAGAACACAGAUGGAGCAGUUGACUUGUUCUUGUUCAUUUCCCUUUCCGCAACGA